rnacentral:rRNA from 1 species
GACAGAGGGUGCAAACGUUGUUCCGGAAUUACUGGGCGUAAAGCGCGUGUAGGCUGCUUCGAAAGUCGGAUGUGAAAGCCCUGGGCUCAACCUAGGAAGUGCAUUCGAAAACUUCGAGCUGGAGCCUGGAGAGGAAGGCGGAAUUCUCGGUGUAGAGGUGAAAUUCGUAGAUAUCGAGAGGAACACCGGUGGCGAAGGCGGCCUUCUGGACAGUGACGUGACGCUGAGACGCGAAAGCGUGGGGAGCAAACAGGGAUUAAGAAACC